AGAGUUUGAUCCUGGCUCAGGAUGAACGCUGGCGGCGUGCCUAAUACAUGCAAGUCGAGCGAACGGAUGAGAAGCUUGCUUCUCUGAUGUUAGCGGCGGACGGGUGAGUAACACGUGGAUAACCUACCUAUAAGACUGGGAUAACUUCGGGAAACCGGAGCUAAUACCGGAUAAUAUUUUGAACCGCAUGGUUCAAAAGUGAAAGACGGUCUUGCUGUCACUUAUAGAUGGAUCCGCGCUGCAUUAGCUAGUUGGUAAGGUGACGGCUUACCAAGGCAACGAUGCAUAGCCGACCUGAGAGGGUGAUCGGCCACACUGGAACUGAGACACGGUCCAGACUCCUACGGGAGGCAGCAGUAGGGAAUCUUCCGCAAUGGGCGAAAGCCUGACGGAGCAACGCCGCGUGAGUGAUGAAGGUCUUCGGAUCGUAAAACUCUGUUAUUAGGGAAGAACAUAUGUGUAAGUAACUGUGCACAUCUUGACGGUACCUAAUCAGAAAGCCACGGCUAACUACGUGCCAGCAGCCGCGGUAAUACGUAGGUGGCAAGCGUUAUCCGGAAUUAUUGGGCGUAAAGCGCGCGUAGGCGGUUUUUUAAGUCUGAUGUGAAAGCCCACGGCUCAACCGUGGAGGGUCAUUGGAAACUGGAAAACUUGAGUGCAGAAGAGGAAAGUGGAAUUCCAUGUGUAGCGGUGAAAUGCGCAGAGAUAUGGAGGAACACCAGUGGCGAAGGCGACUUUCUGGUCUGUAACUGACGCUGAUGUGCGAAAGCGUGGGGAUCAAACAGGAUUAGAUACCCUGGUAGUCCACGCCGUAAACGAUGAGUGCUAAGUGUUAGGGGGUUUCCGCCCCUUAGUGCUGCAGCUAACGCAUUAAGCACUCCGCCUGGGGAGUACGACCGCAAGGUUGAAACUCAAAGGAAUUGACGGGGACCCGCACAAGCGGUGGAGCAUGUGGUUUAAUUCGAAGCAACGCGAAGAACCUUACCAAAUCUUGACAUCCUUUGACAACUCUAGAGAUAGAGC
rnacentral:rRNA from 1 species